rnacentral:pre_miRNA from 1 species
GCUUAUGGAUGAACAAAGAGUGGUUUCUUGAAAUGGAAUCUACUCUUGGUGAGGAUGCUGUGAA